GUCAUCGUCACACCCCACAUGUCUGGCCCCUUUAGGCCACAAGAAGUGGUCAAGAGUUUCAUGAUCAACUUUGAAAAGUUCCUGGCAGGGCAGCCACUCAUACACAAAUUCUCGUUUGAAUCUGGAUAUUAGGUUGAAUGCCUUCAAUGCCAUGUUUUCCAAGUGCAACAGUAGUUGUACAGUAUACUAGUCACGGCUUUUAAUAUAUAAAAUAAUAUAUAUACGGAAAAUAAUAAUCAUUACAACUGUAUUUUUUUAAUAUUUACUAAUAAAUAUUGUAUUUU
rnacentral:lncRNA from 1 species